AACGAACGCUGGCGGCAUGCCUAACACAUGCAAGUCGAACGAUGCCUUCGGGCAUAGUGGCGCACGGGUGCGUAACGCGUGGGAAUCUGCCUUUCGGUUCGGAAUAACUCAGGGAAACUUGAGCUAAUACCGGAUAACGUCGCAAGACCAAAGAUUUAUCACCGAAAGAUGAGCCCGCGUAGGAUUAGCUAGUUGGUGAGGUAAAGGCUCACCAAGGCGACGAUCCUUAGCUGGUCUGAGAGGAUGAUCAGCCACACUGGGACUGAGACACGGCCCAGACUCCGACGGGAAGCAGCAGUGGGGAAUAUUGGACAAUGGGCGAAAGCCUGAUCCAGCAAUGCCGCGUGAGUGAUGAAGGCCUUAGGGUUGUAAAGCUCUUUUACCCGGGAAGAUAAUGACGGUACCGGGAGAAUAAGCCCCGGCUAACUCCGUG
rnacentral:rRNA from 1 species